CACCUCCAAGGACGGGGCAUCCACAACCUCCCUGGGCAGCCUGUUCCAGGGCCUAACCACUCUCCUGGUGGUUAUAUACCAUUCACAACUAGAAGGGAAGAAAAGAGAUUUUAUUUGGGAACUGGCUUGUCAUUGUCUCCUAGAAUCUCCAGCAUUCCUGCUCACUUUGAGAUAUCCCACUGUGGUACAUAAUAGGGUGAUCAGAAAUCUAUAAUAUAAUUUAGAAAAUAAUGAUAUAACGUAAUGACUUGUAAAUAGAGUUUGAUUUUGACAUGGUGUAGGGAGCCUGCUGUGGCAGGGGGGUUGGACUCGAUGAUCUCUAGAGGUCCCUUCCAACCCCUACAAUUCUGUGAUUGUGUGUGAUUCUGUGAUUUAAUAGCUGUGUGGAAUGAAGUGGAGUAACUGGAGGAAAACUGGUACAGAACUGAUACCCUAACAAUUUGCAUGACUGUCUUUCACAUUAAGAAAAUGAAAGAAGUAAUGGAAAUGAUGCAGAUGUGCUUCAAGCAGAAAGGAGAAGCCAGAGCUUCGUCUUUAAGCAUUUUCACCUAGAGCAGUGAGCGUGGAAGAGCCUCUGCUGCUUAAUCUCUACAUAUAACACUCGCUAGCUGCAGGGGAUUCAGCAUAAUGAACUUCUUUGUAUAUGUGUCAGAGGAGGAGAAGAGGAAUGUUAAACCAUAAACUAAGAAAACGUGGUUAAUAAGUGUUUUCUAGACAUUGUCUUUAUGGGAUUCAUAGUAAUUUUUCAACAGCAACAACAACAGAACGGAAGCUAUGUUGAAGUUAUUGUACCCCCAUAUCUUAAAGUUCAGAAGCACUCACUGAGAAUAAUACAAUUGAAACUCUAACAACAACAGUAACAAAUAACAGUUAUUUGGGAGAAAUUCACACAGAGAAUUACAGUCCCAAAGCACAUUUUACAAAAUGACAGGAAAAAACCCCCAUCACAACACAGGAAAACCUGGUACAGUAGUGUGAUGUCUCAUACAAAUUACU